CGCGUUUGUUGUUGUUACAGCGUGAAACGAGGCUUAUAUUCCUGUGAUUUCACAUACUAAAUUGAACUUCGUAACUUAUAUGCAUACUGUCAGUCAUUCCAACAAGUUGACUUAGCACUCAGUCACUUUCCAUCGGAUUAGACCCUCAUGAUUUCAAAAGCCAAAAACUCAUGUUUGAAGCCCACAUGUAGUGGAAUACAAAUUUGCCGAGAUAAGGUAUUCUUGAACCAUAGGAUCUUUUCUGAAUCUCGCAAUUUUGGUGGUGUACCUAGCUGCAACUGCAUGUUUGUUGUUGUGGAUGUUUUUACUUCUGUUAAGAAAGCAAUACAGCUAAGAGAAAGAGUUUCAGUGACGUGAAGAGUGGGAGUGAAUAGCCUGCCAUGUGUAUUCCACAUAUACCGGAUCUGCUUGAUGAAAGUCAAAUGCCUUACUAAAUUCAUCACCCGCAUGAUAAAGCAUCAGGAAAUUUAUCUCAUCAUGUGGAGUAAUGCUGUUGGUUGCUGUGAAUUCC
rnacentral:lncRNA from 1 species